rnacentral:rRNA from 1 species
AUUGAACGCUGGCGGCAGGCCUAACACAUGCAAGUCGAGCGGAUGAAGAGAGCUUGCUCUCUGAUUCAGCGGCGGACGGGUGAGUAAUGCCUAGGAAUCUGCCUGGUAGUGGGGGACAACGUUUCGAAAGGAACGCUAAUACCGCAUACGUCCUACGGGAGAAAGCAGGGGACCUUCGGGCUUUGCGCUAUCAGAUGAGCCUAGGUCGGAUUAGCUAGUUGGUGAGGUAAAGGCUCACCAAGGCGACGAUCCGUAACUGGUCUGAGAGGAUGAUCAGUCACACUGGAACUGAGACACGGUCCAGACUCCUACGGGAGGCAGCAGUGGGGAAUUUUGGACAAUGGGGGCAACCCUGAUCCAGCCAUUCCGCGUGAGUGAAGAAGGCCUCGG